rnacentral:rRNA from 1 species
GUGGGGAAUAUUGGGCAAUGGGGGAAACCCUGACCCAGCGACGCCGCGUGAGGGAAGACGGCCUUCGGGUUGUAAACCUCUUUUGUACGGGAAGAAGGAAGUGACGGUACUGUACGAAUAAGUCCCGGCUAACUACGUGCCAGCAGCCGCGGUAAUACGUAGGGGACGAGCGUUGUCCGGAAUUACUGGGCGUAAAGGGCGCGCAGGCUGUGCUGCAAGUCAGCUGUGAAAUGUCUGGGCUUAACCCGGGCAUGCGGUUGAGACUGCAGUGCUGGAGUGCUGUAGAGGCAAGUGGAAUUCCCAGUGUAGCGGUGAAAUGCGUAGAUAUUAGGAGGAACACCAGUGGCGAAGGCGGCUUUCUGGACUGACACUGACGCUGAUGCACGAAAGCGUGGGGAGCAAACAGGAUUAGAUACCCCUGUAGUCC